CGGCCGUCACGGGCCGGCAGCGUGACGCCGCGCGCCGGCUGGCUGGACCUUGUUGCGCGUGUGUGAGUGUGUGACAGUGUCUGUGCAGCAUGGUGCCGGCCACAGGAUAACAAGGCCACACACCGCCCGCCAUCACAAAGGUGUGUUGCAGUCUCGCAAACAACAGAAAAAUCGCCACUCGCAUUGAAGAUCGGAGCCACUGCCUCGGACCCCAGGGCACCCCAGGGCACCCCCGGGCACCCCAGGGCAGCCCACGGCGCCGCAGGGGCCCGGCCCGGACGACCGCCACGUCCGCGACGACGCGGCCAGCAGCCCAUCAUGCGGGCCUCGUGCCGUCUCUGAGGCUGGCGAUGCAGCCCGAGGCCCCCAUGGCGGUGACCGAGGCCCUGUCGGCGCUGGGGUUCAGGGGUCGUGCCGUGGCUGGGACUCGAGGGACCCGAGGGACGCGGAGAGCAGGCGGCGGGGCCGUCGCCGCCAAGGCCCUGCAGGCCGCGCAGGCCGGCCACAGGAAGCUAGUACGAGGAGUGCGAGGAGUCCGAGGAGUCCAGGGCAGCUGCAGGCACAGGCGGCCCGGGCCUCUCGCCGUCGGCACCACGCCGUCAUAGCGACCAAGCUUAGUUUAGUGUUCCGUCGCCCUCGAGCGACGAGCUGAUUCAACGCUUGUACCAGUUCCGAGAAAGCCUUCGCAGUGGCGGGGACCACGAUGAACCUGCUCAACAUGGACGCGGAGAACCGCGUGGUUCUCAACUGCGGCGGCAUCCGACACGAGACGUACAAGGCUACGCUCAAGAAGAUCCCCGCGACGCGUCUCUCGCGCCUCACCGAGGCGCUGGCCAACUACGACCCCAUCCUCAACGAGUACUUCUUCGACCGCCACCCGGGCGUCUUCGCCCAAGUGCUCAACUACUACCGGACGGGCAAGCUGCACUACCCCACGGACGUGUGCGGUCCGCUGUUCGAAGAGGAGCUCGAGUUUUGGGGUCUGGACGCCAACCAGGUGGAGCCGUGCUGCUGGAUGACAUACACGCAGCAUCGAGACACGCAGGAGACCUUGGCCGUGCUGGACCGCCUGGACCUGGACACAGAGAAGCCGUCGGACGAGGAGAUGGCGCGGAAGUUCGGCUUCGAGGAGGACUACUUCCGGGGCACCGUGUCCUGGUGGCAGCGGUCCAAGCCCAAGCUGUGGUCCCUCUUCGACGAGCCCUACUCAUCCAACGCCGCCAAGAUCGUGGGCGUGGCGUCCGUCUUCUUCAUCUGCGUGUCCAUCCUGUCCUUCUGCCUCAAGACGCACCCGGACAUGAGGGUGCCGGUGAUCCGCAACAUCACCGUCAAGACGGCGGCCAACAUGACGGCGUGGACGCUGGACAAGACGCAGACCAACGCGCACGAGGCCUUCUUCUACAUCGAGUGCGUGUGCAACGCGUGGUUCACCGUGGAGAUCGUCUCCAGGUUCACCGCGUCGCCCAACAAGUGCGACUUCAUCAAGGCCUCGGUCAACAUCAUCGACUACAUCGCCACGCUCAGCUUCUACAUCGAUUUGGUGCUGCAGAAGUUCGCGUCGCACCUGGAGAACGCCGACAUCCUCGAGUUCUUCUCCAUCAUCCGCAUCAUGCGACUGUUCAAGCUGACGCGGCACUCGUCGGGCCUCAAGAUCCUCAUCCAGACGUUCCGGGCGUCGGCCAAGGAGCUCACGCUGCUCGUCUUCUUCCUGGUGCUGGGUAUCGUCAUCUUCGCCAGCCUGGUGUACUACGCGGAGCGCAUCCAGGCCAACCCCCACAACGACUUCAACAGCAUCCCGCUGGGCCUGUGGUGGGCGCUGGUCACCAUGACCACGGUGGGGUACGGGGACAUGGCGCCCAAGACGUACGUCGGCAUGUUCGUGGGCGCGCUGUGCGCGCUGGCCGGUGUGCUGACCAUCGCCCUGCCCGUCCCCGUCAUCGUCUCCAACUUCGCCAUGUACUACUCCCACACGCAGGCGCGCGCCAAGCUGCCUAAGAAGAGGAGACGGGUGCUGCCGGUGGAGCCGACGCGACCGCUGGUGCGGAUACCUGGACAGCCCGGGCAGCCCGGGCAGCCAGGGUGCCCGGCUGGAGGCGGCGGUCCCGGCGGCGGCGGUCCGGGCUGCAGAGCCGGCAUGGACCCUGGCGGGGGGCCGCCCGUGCAGAACAGGCGGAUGAACGCCAUCAAGAGCAACCACCCGAAGGACGCCAUGGGUGGCAUGAUGGACCCCUACGCGGCCGAGGAGCAUGUGCCCAUGUUGGACUUGUCGCAAGUGAACCACAAACUACGGGGACGGCUUUGAGGAAAUGACAUUGUGCGCGGCGCUGCAACGCGGCGGGCGCUCUAGAGGAUGGCUGCGACGUGUGACGAGGCCGUGACGAGGCUGUGACUAGGCCGGGACGAGGCCGUCACAGCGGCGUCACGUUGCGUGGUGCCUAGCGGACCAAGACCCGUCGUCAGGGCCUCGGCCGCAGAGCUACGCAGAGCUACGCAGAGCGGGCCGGCCAGGACCGGAAGCAGGACCGGAAGUGCUUCGGGCUGCCGGCCUCGGACUCACUGUUUACUUGGUGCAUGCGUGCAAGCCGCCACGCCCAAGUGUGUGUGCGUCUGUGGCGGUUAGCAAGACGGACACUUCAGUCGCUUUGCAGUCGUUUCACAACAAACAGAUCCUAGUGGCAAUUUCUUUGUGAUAUUGGGAGAAGACGCAAGAGGAGAAAACGAACAGCAGUGCUCGGUGUUGUUUUUCCCUUUUUUCUCUUUGUAGGACAGUAGACAGUGACACAUAUCAUCUCGACGAGACGUGUGCAGUGUCAUAUUUCUAUAUCGACAGUCUUCUUUGAGGCGGCCAGCAAAUGGCUGCCCGAUGUGCAGCCUAGCAUAGUCACUGAAGACACAAGUCUUGAGGCAUAAGUCCGAUAAAUUCUAAAUUUAUUUUAUUGUGAAGCGUUUACGUUCAUGAACAAAGUAUUGUUAUUAGACAAAUAAUGCUGGCUAUAAAUUCCGACAGGCAAGGACAAAAAGCAUGUAAGCAGGAUAUAGGCUAUUUAAUUUAUAUUUUUUUUUCAUUCAAAAGGUAUACUGUCUUUGUCACUUUUAUCCUUAUGUAACACUAUUGAUCACACUGUUAAACACCAUCAUGAUUUUUGUGAGGUUGGCUCUGAGUAACUGAAAAUAACAAGUAAAUUAUCGACUGUAUGGCCGCAAUUUUACAGUAACAUUAACAGUAUUUCAGCGCUUCAUAAUAUAACAAAGGUCGUUUUGAAGAUUUAUUUUUCGCUUGUCCACAGAGCCUUGACUCAGUGACUCGGAGCCAACCACGCCACGGUCAUCACAUUUUUCACCUUCUAUCACAUUAGCCUAUUAAACACGCUUUAUAUCAAAAUGAUAUAUCUCUUUUAAUAACGAUAAUGGUUAAGGGGACUCAUCUGUGUAGCAUGAUAUUUUUGUUAUUUUUUGUUGUUAUCAGCAUUCUAUCACUCAUUUCUUUCAAACAAUCUGUAACGACGCCAACAGUCAAUGGUUGUCUAAUGAAUGUACAUUCAGGCUUUGGAAGUACAUUGCCAACAAGAUGCAAUAGCCUAAUUGUAUUGUCUUGGAUUAUCAGUCAUUUUACGUAUCAGUGUACCGCCGCAAAUAAACAGUCUUCCAUAUAGUCUCGAGAUGAUGCCGAUGAAUGAAGAUCGGAAGGGAUACAACUCAUCAGAACAACUAAAUUUAAGUAUUUCUCUAGUCACAUAUUUUGUUCCUCUACGUAAUUGUACCGGCGAAUGCUCCAGCUCAGAAUGGAAUAAACUGCAAAGUUGCGAAUGCCACAUUAAUAAUUUCUCUUUUUGCCACAAUGUAUACAAUGUGAAGGGGGAGUCAAGGUGGAUCAUUUUAAAGUGGAGUGCCAUUGCUCAAAUCGCAUAAUAAUUGUGCAUGUAGUCUCUAAAUUCUAAUUUGAUCAUAAUUAUCUUUGUACGUUCUUUGGCGCGUGCUUCUUCCGUUUGUUUCCGAUUGCCACCUCGUUUCAAACUUCUAGCGCGUAUUUUGUAAGUGUAAUCCAAACCGGCCGCGGAAACGGCUGCGAACGGAACAAAUUUGAUGCCGUACAUCUCCCGAUUUCUUGAUUUCGUUUGACAAGACUUAUAUCCAUUCUGUUAUACUUCUACUAGCGUGGGCGUUGAUAUUCAACGUCCAUGUGUGUCUUAUUCUUCUGAAAAAUGUUGUCUCAGUAGAUUGCGAGCUAUCAUUGAGGCUAGUCGAGAACCUCAUAGCGUCUCACAUUUCGUACUUUUUCUAUUAAGCUUUAUCGAAGUGAAUGAGCAUGUUUCUGAGCAGUUUGUAGAGAUCGUACUGUCUCGACCAACACAAAUACAACGUUCAUGAUAUUGAAUAAACUGUCUAGGCUUGUUAAAUUGCGACACAGUAUGUGUAAGACAUAUUUGUGCUUAGAUAAGUUCUGAUGGGACUGCUGACCAAAUCAUUGCGCGCUAGGCGUGGCUAUGCACUGUGGUUGUGUAAAAAAAUACCACCGAGAGAAGCAAUGUUUCACACAUUGUCCCCCAGGAUAUUUUUUCUGCCUUGUUAUCGUAUUUGUAAAUUUUUACAGAUCAAAAUUAUAGACUACGCUGAAUUGUAUUUGUAACCUUUAUUUGGUUUGAAGGGCUGGAUAGUUCAUAUCCCUUUAAAAUUAUCGGGCUAUUAAUUGAAAUACGCGGACAAAAUUGUUACUGCUCAUCUGAUUUUAUCGCUGUUUUAACAUAUUUUCUAACUUUCAUUGUGACUUCCUCAGUGCAUGCUGGUAUUCUCUUAUACCUCUACAUGAAGAAGGACAGGUAGGGAAAGCUAACGUAGGCAUAGGUCUCGAACAGGACUACCGGCGAACGGCCAUUGUAAUGAGUUAUAGAAAGCAAAAGAAUAUCUGUCUCCUGAAAAUUCCCCCAACACCUGAGUACAAACCAGAGCUACUGUUCCACUGUUCCACUGUUUGUUCUUGAUGAUGGCGGGUGAAGGCGGUGCAGGCCUAGACGGGUCUGGGCGGUCUGACGAAUUUGGCACUCCUAGUCCCGAGCGCCUGCGGAGAAGAGGGCAGGCCGCGCCGCGCCGCGAGACUGCGUGGCGGGACUGUCUACCCUCUGUUCCGCGGGCGCUCGAGACGCCAUGGCGACGAAAGAAAUUAAAAGGCCACGCCCGGGGCUCUCCGUCCAGGUCCGAUGUUCGGGUCCAUUCCAGUGUAUGGUGCGACGUACCACAGUGCACUCCAGAUGCAUCCCUCAACUUUGGAGGGUGGAUUUGGAGUCGCUUCGGCAUCAGAACAAACUGCUGCAACCCGUCUUCAUUCUUUCCAUUACGACUUUCUUUUGUUACAUUCGUUCACAUUUUACGUAUCGUUGUUUGACUUUCGGUUUCAUAAGAAGCAUUCUGUAAAUAUUGUAAGCACUAUGAAAUAUCAUCUAAAGACAAGUA
rnacentral:misc_RNA from 1 species